AGUGAACGCUGGCGGUAGGCCUAACACAUGCAAGUCGAACGGCAGCACAGUAAGAGCUUGCUCUUACGGGUGGCGAGUGGCGGACGGGUGAGGAAUACAUCGGAAUCUACUUUUUCAUGGGGGAUAACGUAGGGAAACUUACGCUAAUACCGCAUACGACCUACGGGUGAAAGCAGGGGAUCUUCGGACCUUGCGCGAUUGAAUGAGCCGAUGUCGGAUUAGCUAGUUGGCGGGGUAAGGGCCCACCAAGGCGACGAUCCGUAGCUGGUCUGAGAGGAUGAUCAGCCACACUGGAACUGAGACACGGUCCAGACUCCUACGGGAGGCAGCAGUGGGGAAUAUUGGACAAUGGGCGCAAGCCUGAUCCAGCCAUACCGCGUGGGUGAAGAAGGCCUUCGGGUUGUAAAGCCCUUUUGUUGGGAAAGAAAAGCAGCAGGUUAAUACCCCGCUGUUCUGACGGUACCCAAAGAAUAAGCACCGGCUAACUUCGUG
rnacentral:rRNA from 1 species